CUCAAUACCCCGUCCGGUAUGAGGGUGAAACGGGCCGUCCCCAUACCCCGUCCGGUAUGGGCGCCAAAAUCAUAAACCUCAAUACCCCGUCCGGUAUGAGGGUGAAACGGGCCGUCCCCAUACCCCGUCCGGUAUGGGCGCCAAAACCAUAAGAUCUCCAUACCCCGUCCGGCAUGUGAGACCACAAUCCCGGUAGGGUUCCCUACGGACCCGGUCCGUCCACCAUCUCCCAGGAUAUCUAGUCAGGCUGACCCCCAUAAUACAAUUAUCAGUCUACACAAUCUUUCAUUUUCCUUUUCCUCAGUCAGCAUCAUCAAUUCAUAUACAAACAAGCAAAACAGUAAUUCAUGCCAAACAGACAACAUACGGUAUCAGUUUUUCAGUCAUUCAACCCAUGAUUAAUAAAAACGUAGUGUAUGCACACAAAUCUGUAAAAUGAACACAUCAAACCUCAUUUUGCAUUUAAAGCUGUAAACAGGCCAAAUAACAGUAAAUCACCAAUCACACUAGACUCGGGCUCCAUUAGCCACCUUAAACAAUUUCACACAUUCGUUAAUUCAAGAAAUACCGUUUUAUCAUUUUGAACUUUAAUACCGUGAUAGGAAAUAGGGUGAGGGGUCCUUACUUGUUUUUGGGAUCCGAAUACGAUUCACAGUGCGCCUGCAGGCCGUCCCUAAUUUUCUCUGAAUUUUUUCCCGAUGAACUGAAACACACUAACAGUACCUGCACGUGUUCCAAAAAAAAUCCAAAUUAGGCCCAGGGCCUCUUUCGGCCCAAAUCGCAACUCCAGCACGGCGGCUCCGCCGUGCUCCGGCGACGGCGCCACCGCUGGCGGCGGCGAGUCGCCUCGGGUAAACGGCCGAAAACGGCCACACUCGCAUUGGUCCUUGUCAGAAAACAACCCUAGGGCCCUCGGGGGGCCAAAAAAUUCACGGAAAAACGGAGCUUACCGGCGGCGGCGCUCUCGGGUACGGCGGCUCUCCGGCGAGGUUCGUGUUUUGGUGAUUCGGCUUCGGUCAACCUGUAGAGAAAAGAAUGGUGAUCACGGUGAUAUAAAAAUUGCAUCGAACGGAGGCCGGGAAGGGCCUCGUCGGAGGCAAAAACCGAGAGGGGGCGCGGCGGCGCCGCUGGGCUUCGGCCGCGUAUUCCGGCCGUUUGGCCGGGAUUUCGGCCUCGAUUUGGCCAUAGGAGGAAUCAGCGGGGAAAAACGAGUCGGGGGUAUGAAAUUUACCUCGAUCGGCGGUCGGAAAUUUCCCCGGUGCGGCGGCGGGUGGCGGCGGUCGGCCUCUGGUUCGUCUUCUCCGGCGAGCGGCGGGCGGCUAGGGUUUGUGGUCUGGUGUGGGGGUUCUAUUUAUAACCCCUUACCUUUUGAUCUCAGCCGUUCAUUUCGUUUUAAUCUGGGCCGUUCGUUUUUGAUUGAAUCUGGGCCGUCCGUGCGAUUGAAUCUGGGCCGUCCGAUCGCGCGAUUGAUCUGGGCCGUCGGAUCGCACCCACGCGGAUCGCCAACGUGGCUCCUUUCGGAGUGACGCGGUCUUGCCACGUGGCAGGCCCCGGUUGGCCGGGACUGCUGACCGGGCCUGCUGACGUGGCCCCCUCUUUUUUUUUUUUUUUUUUUUUUUUUUUUUUUCUCCUCCUUUCCGGGUGCUACAACUCUCCCCCCCAUAAAGAAAUUUGGUCCCCAAAUUUGCCUCAUUACUCUUGAUCAAACAGAUGACGAUAUUGGGCCCUAAAUUCUGAUUCCAGCUCCCAAGUCGCCUCCCUAGGCGUGUGGUUCUGCCACAAGACUUUUACAAAUGAUAUUUCCCGGUUACGGAGUAUCUGCUUUCUCGGUCCGUGAUACUGACCGGUACUUCUUCAUAAGACAAGUCCUCUCGGAGUGAAAGCGGUUCAUGAGCCACGACAUGAGAAAGGUCCGGAUUGUACUUGCGCAGCAUAGAUACAUGAAACACAUUGUGAACCCGGGAGAGCUCAGGGGGCAGUGCAAGUCUGUAGGCAGUGGUACCAAUCUUGUCUAAGAUUUCAAAGGGUCCAAUGUAUCUGGG
rnacentral:lncRNA from 1 species